ACUUGUAUAGCUUAAUAUUUAAAGCACAGCUCUGAAAAGGCUUAGAUGGUAUAUUACCUAUAAGUA
rnacentral:tRNA from 1 species